AACAGGAUUAGAUACCCUGGUAGUCCACGCCGUAAACGAUGUCGACUUGGAGGUUGUGCCCUUGGGGCGUGGCUUCCGGAGCUAACGCGUUAAGUCGACCGCCUGGGGAGUACGGCCGCAAGGUUAAAACUCAAAUGAAUUGACGGGGGCCCGCACAAGCGGUGGAGCAUGUGGUUUAAUUCGAUGCAACGCGAAGAACCUUACCUACUCUUGACAUCCAGAGAACUUAGCAGAGAUGCUUUGGUGCCUUCGGGAACUCUGAGACAGGAGCUGCAUGGCUGUCGUCAGCUCGUGUUGUGAAAUGUUGGGUUAAGUCCCGCAACGAGCGCAACCCUUAUCCUUUGUUGCCAGCGGUUAGGCCGGGAACUCAAAGGAGACUGCCAGUGAUAAACUGGAGGAAGGUGGGGAUGACGUCAAGUCAUCAUGGCCCUUACGAGUAGGGCUACACACGUGCUACAAUGGCAUAUACAAAGAGAAGCGACCUCGCGAGAGCAAGCGGACCUCAUAAAGUAUGUCGUAGUCCGGAUUGGAGUCUGCAACUCGGCUCCAUGAAGUCGGAAUCGCUAGUAAUCGUGGAUCAGAAUGCCACGGUGAAUACGUUCCCGGGCCUUGUACACACCGCCCGUCACACCAUGGGAGUGGGUUGCAAAAGAAGUAGGUAGCUUAACCUUCGGGAGGGCGCUUACCACUUUGUGAUUCAUGACUGGGGUGAAGUCGUAACAAGGUAACC
rnacentral:rRNA from 1 species